GGUCCACAAUGAUGAUGUGAACUGUCACGUUGCUGCUGAGAGGAGGAGAGCCAGAGUCUCUGGCCUCGAUGUGGAACAGAAACUCCUUCUCAAUCUCAUAAUCAAAAGUUUUCAAUGCAUAAAGGUUCCCGUUCUCUGGAUUGAUGGAGAACAGCAUGGACAUGGAGGUGUUGGCUAUCUCCUUCUCUAAUAUGAAGUAAACCAGAUACUGGUUUUCAUGGAGGUCAGGGUCAAACGCAGUGAGAGAGCUGAGCAAGGCUCCAGGUGCGUUAUUCUCCAUCACACGUAUGGUAUAGAAUGACUGAGGGAACUGUGGGACAUUGUCAUUAACAUCCAGCAGCUCUAAGGUCAUAGUUUCAUUGUCAGAUAAAGGAGGAGAGCCUCUGUCUGUGACAGUGAAGGUGAUGUCAUAUUCUGGGACCUUCUCACGGUCUAAUGGCUGUGAAACUACUAAUUCAUAAUAGUUAUCAGA